GAUGAUUUAGAACAAGAGCCAUAUAUUCCUCAACAGAAACCUACUACUUCAAAACCUACUAAGAAGAAGCCUACAGAUGACAAAACUGUUGCUAUGUGGACAGACAGCAGCACGCUAGCAUUACUUACCUGUUAUGAAGCAAAAAGGAAGAUCUUGAUCAUCCUGUUAAGCGAGGGAAAGUAUGGGCAUCAAUAGCUGAUGACCUUUCAGAGUUCGGUUACAAGGUAUUAUAAAAAACUCCCAAAAAAUAUAAAAAUGUUUUGUAUUUUUGUAUGUACUAUGUAUGUACAUUUAUAUUUAUUAGAGAUUAGCGAGAGGGGCUCUGUACUGUAUUGCUGCAAAAUUGUCUUUUUAGUUGUUUUAAUAUGAAUUUGAUAUCUUUGGACAUUUUAUUUCUCUGAAAAUGCAAUAGCAAAUAAAUUGAACUUUAUACUGCACUUUCCCUGUCAUUGAUUGUCAUUUGCUUAAGAUAAAUUGUUUUAGGCUGGUAUUCAUAGUCGAAUCUUAUGUCAAAAUUGUCUCAAGCAAUG